AUUUAUAUUUGGUUUAAAUUUUUUAAUCUAGUUUUUAUUUAAUGUUACUUUAAUUUUUUUUUUUUUUUUUUUUUAUAUUAUUUUUAUUUAAUUCAUUAUGCUAUAUUUGUUUUAUUGUAUUAGAUAUAUAUGUACAGUUUUUGUGUUCAAGUAUAUAGACAUAGAUGUUUAUUCGUUAAGCUUUAAAUCUCAUUCUGGUUCAUUGUUUGUUGAUGUACUUAUGCUGCUGUGCUGUGAUGUCCUGUGCUUUUGCUCCUGUUUUUAUUUUUAUAUUAUGAUUCACCCCAUAUAAAUAUUUAUACAUUUUUAGAAAUUUUUUUUAUAAAUUUUUUUUUUAAUUAAGAGCUAUAUUUUUGUUAAUAAUCAUAUUUAUAUGUAACACGUGCAGUGUGAUUUUUUUAUAUUGUUAAAAAUAUAUUUAAAUAUUUAUGCAUAUAUAUAUAUAUAUAUAUAUAUAUAUAUAUGUACAUCUGUGUAAGUAUUUUUUAACGAAUAUUAUUUGAUUAUCUUUGUCUACUAAAGUUUUUUAUUUUUUAUGGUGUAUUUUUUAUUGUUUAUUUUUUAUUGUGUAUUUUUUAUUGUGUAUUUUUUAUUGUGUAUUUUUUAUUGUUCAUUGUUUGUUGUUCAUUUUUUGUUGUUCAUUUUUUAUUGUUCAUUUUUUUUAUAUUUAACAUGAACUAUAAAAAAUAUUGUUUAUGUGUGUGUAUGUUUAUGUGAAUGUAAUAGCACAAGUACAUGCAUAUGGUGUUAUAUAUAUGUAUAUAUUUUAAGUAAUUUGUAGAAACAUAUAUAUAUAUAUAUAUAUAUAUAUAUAUAUAUAUAUAGCUUUAAUUAAUUCAUUUUUGUUUGAAAUAACCCAAAAUAAUGCCAUUUUUAACCAUAUGUAUCUAUAAAUCUAUUAACUAACGUAGAGGAAAAUAAUGAUUACUAGUUUAUUCUUUUUAUUCAUAUUCAUUUAUCACUUUAAACAUGUUGCACUUACAAAAAACAAUCCUGGAGAGCAACCAGAACCACAGUUUGUAGAUAACACACCCCUAAUUGAUGAAGAAUGGAGACUUUAUCCGUUGGCAACAAAUCCUUUUAUGGAUUUACAACAUCCCAAUAUGAUAGGGGAUUUUGUAAGAUGUGUUGACGAAUAUUAUGUUUUUGAAACAAAAAAAAUAUAAUAAAUAUAAAAAAGAAAGAUAUCGUAAAAUAAAAGAAAAUAAACAAUUUCCA
rnacentral:lncRNA from 1 species